GCAUGCACAUGUAUAUGUGUAUGUAUAUAUGUGUGUAUAUAUAUAUAUAUAUAUACAUGUGUAUAUGUGUAUGU